rnacentral:rRNA from 1 species
AUUGACCGCAUGAUCGAUGUUUAAUAGAUUUAUUGCUAUCGGAUUGGCUCGCGUACCAUUAGCUAGUUGGCGGGGUAACGGCCCACCAAGGCGACGAUGGUUAGGGGUUCUGAGAGGAAGGUCCCCCACAUUGGAACUGAGACACGGUCCAGACUCCUACGGGAGGCAGCAGUGAGGAAUAUUGGACAAUGGCCGGAAGGCUGAUCCAGCCAUGCCGCGUGCGGGAAGACGGCCCUAUGGGUUGUAAACCGCUUUUGUUGGGGAGCAAUAAGGUCCACGUGUGGAUCGAUGAGAGUACCCAGCGAAUAAGCAUCGGCUAACUCCGUGCCAGCAGCCGCGGUAAUACGGAGGAUGCAAGCGUUAUCCGGAUUUAUUGGGUUUAAAGGGUGCGUAGGCGGACUUUUAAGCGUGAGGUGAAAUGCCCGGGCUCAACCUGGGAACUGCCUCGCGAACUGGGAGUCUGGAAUGUCCGUGCCGUGGGAGGAAUGUGUGGUGUAGCGGUGAAAUGCAUAGAGAUCACACAGAACACCGAUUGCGAAGGCAUCUCACGAACGGAUGAUUGACGCUGAGGCACGAAAGC